rnacentral:rRNA from 1 species
AACCUACGGGGCGCAGCAGUGAGGAAUAUUGGUCGAUGGGCGGGAGCCUGAACCAGCCAAGUCGCGUGAGGGAAGACGGUCCUACGGAUUGUAAACCUCUUUUGCCGGGGAGCAACGGGGUCCUUGCGAGGGCCCGAUGAGAGUACCCGGAGAAAAAGCAUCGGCUAACUCCGUGCCAGCAGCCGCGGUAAUACGGAGGAUCCGAGCGUUAUCCGGAUUUAUUGGGUUUAAAGGGAGCGUAGGCGGAUUAUUAAGUCAGUUGUGAAAGUUUGCGGCUCAACCGUAACAUUGCAGUUGAUACUGGU